AUAAAAGCGCAUACGCCAUAAUGGUUCCGUUUCCAAAGUAAUAGCUGAACAAGCGCUCCCUUAGAAAAAAGGCCCUCUGCCUCUCUCCCACAUAGCCACAUAAAACGUCAGUUUUCCCCUGCCAACAGAUAGCUCACAAUCGUGGAAAAAACUAAGCCAACCUUUUCCCCUAGCUAUGAAGAUCCAGCGAUGGGCAGGCGAUCUCCGCGUGAAGUCCAGUCAUCUCGCACGACCAUCGAUCUACUUCACCUGCAACUCCUCUCUACGCAGGCCAGACCACAGUUUCGUUGCCGGCCGCCCAGAUCGUCGCUGAGGGCACAGCCGAAUCGGCCUAAUCGGGUCGUUAUUAUGCUCCUAAUCUACCGGGCACGCCGGAUGGUCUACCUCGCCACCGUCUCUUGGCAGCUGGGACGUGAGCUGGGUUGUUUUAUGUUGCCGGCAACCUAGAAUCACAGAUCGUUAAUUAAGGCACAACCGAUGAGGCCUCUGCGAUGCUCGAUGGCCGCCGUCGGGUACCACAAGCAUCGCGGAGUUCGCCUCAAUCAGCAAAGAAGACUGUCACAGCGGCUCCUGCUCUGUGGCUGGUACAUCAGCUUAUCAGUGAGCAUUGUAGCACUUAGUUUCACGUUAGAUGAGGAAUACCAUUGUUACGUACUUCUAUACCAUGGUUGACAUACUUCUUUGUUGUACGAUCAUUUAUAUUCUGCAUUUAUGAUCAAUUCCUACUUCCCAGUCUCCAUCGUGCAUUCCGCACGCGUCAUCUGUGUCUCCGAGCACCAGGCUUCCGACACUCCGCUAUGAUCUCCACAUGAUCCCGCAUGGGCUUCACGGAGUUGUAGUUUCACUCAGAUAUAAGCAAUAGUAUUGAUGUCUAUUCACCAUCAAAAAAAAGUAUUGAUGUCUAUUUGCAAGAUGCCUGCCAAGGAGCUGCCAAAAUUAUCAACCUGGGCAUGUUCUAUGUAUUAGUGAUGCCUCUUUUAAUUGCAUUUGGCUAGGUUUUGUUUUGGUGCCAGACAGAACUUUGUUCACCCCAAUUAAGCCUUUCAGUUUACUAUCUUUGUUGCAUGUUAUGUUGCAUUAUACUCACUAAGGUGCAAUUCCUUCCCUCUGAAUUUGGAACUAUCAUGUUAUCGUCAGCUUUAGUAUAAAGGUUUGCAUUCUGCUCCAUCCAACACUUUCCUGUAAAAGUGCUCCUCCAUGUAGGUCACUAUAUGACAACUGAAAUUUUAAGCAUUGACUGGUAUGUAUUUGUAGAGACUAUGAUAGAUAUAGAAGCAUCAAAAUUUAAUAUAUGCCCAUCUUCAUUCUGCUGAAGUUUUACCUACUAUUUUUCUUUGCCUAUUAACCGAUUCAUGAAAUAAUUCACUGAGGUGGCCAAAUACAUUACUUUCAUAAAAUACAUAUGUGUUUUCUUUUUCUCUGUUAUUAAUUGUUUGACAUAUUAUUGUUAAUUGUACAAACUAAUCUUGAUUUUUCAGUUGCCGGCACUUUUUUUUUCUUGCCAUUUGAAUCUUGCCCAUUUGGAUCGUGUCUAAUGUGGCAAAGGUCACACAUUCAAUAUUUGUUUGUGAGACUCCAUUACUAAGGAGCUAGAGUCUGAAACUGAAGCUGGUACUUGCGCCAUCAACUUGAUAGCCUGAUUGAGUCGGGCCUUACUCACUGUGCUCCUUCAAGUCGAUUAGUUGCAAUUGUGUUGGAGGAUACCAUUAAGGAGGUUUUUGGAUUAGAGAGUGGAUACUGUACCUUGCUGCGAACGGUCCUGCGACGGCGGUGAGCUGGGGUGGCAGAGAACGGUCCAGCGACGACGGCGAUGGCUACCAAGCGACAGGGCCGCACCAAAUAGGCGGAGGAUUAGGCACACAUCCGGUGACUCGCCGACCAUCGGAGACGGGAAGAGCCGGCUCGAGCCUGGCGGCACUGGGUUCUUUUGGGAGAGAGCAGAGGAGCACUCGAGAUUUCUCCCCGAAACAAACACCUCCUAGGUAUAAAUCUUAUUAAUGGUUCAUUCCUGGAAUCGAUCCCUUCUUUGUUUGGUCAAUUCUUGAUCAGCAAAGGAGUGCACUCCCAUAUAAACAUAAGCAGGAUCACACACACACACCAUUGAUGUUGGUGUUUUGGUACAUCAGCAUGUUUGAUUAUAUACACAUAUGAAA